rnacentral:rRNA from 1 species
AAUCAACGCUGGCGGCGUGCCUCAGACAUGCAAGUCGAACGAUUAAAGCUCCCUUCGGGGAGUGCAUAAAGUGGCGCACGGGUGAGUAACACGUAAGUAAUCUACCCUCGAGUGGGGAAUAACGUCCGGAAACGGACGCUAAUACCGCAUAAUGCAGCGGCACCGCAAGGUGACAGUUGUUAAAGAUUUAUCGCUUGAGGAGGAGCUUGCGGCAGAUUAGCUAGUUGGUAAGGUAAUGGCUUACCAAGGCUACGAUCUGUAACCGGUCUAAGAGGACGGUCGGUCACACUGACACUGAAUGACGGGUCAGACUCCUACGGGAGGCAGCAGUCGGGAAUUUUGGGCAAUGGGCGAAAGCCUGACCCAGCAACGCCGCGUGAAGGAUGAAGUUUUUCGGAAUGUAAACUUCGAAAGAAUGGGAAGAAUAAAUGACGGUACCAUUUAUAAGGUCCGGCUAACUACGUGCCAGCCGCCGCAGUAAGAC